rnacentral:rRNA from 1 species
GAUUUCUGGUUUCGUCUGUUUAGCCCGCCACGGUUUCGUGUGUGAGUGCUUGUACAGUCGAGCCAUCCUUCUAGCUCUGCCUCUUGCUCUUCAUUGAGUGGAGGGUGUAGGGUUAGAUCUUUUACUUUGAAAAAAUUAGAGUGUUUCAAGCAGGCAUUAAGCUAUGAAUACAUUAGCAUGGAAUAAUAAUGUAGGACUUCGGUUCUAUUUUGUUGGUUUCUAGUACUGAAGUAAUGAUUGAUAGGGAUAGUUGGGGGUGCUAGUAUUCAGUGGCCAGAGGUGAAAUUCUCGGAUUCCCUGAAGACUAACUUAUGCGAAAGCAUU